AGAGUUUGAUCCUGGCUCAGAACGUACGCUGGCGGCACGCCUAACACAUGCAAGUCGAACGAAGUAGCAAUACUUAGUGGCAGACGGGUGAGUAACAUGUAGGUAUCUGCCCUUUGGCCUGGAAUAACACGAGGAAACUUGUGCUAAUACCGGAUAAGUCUUUACGGAGAAAGCUUUAUGCACCAUUGGAUGAGCCUGCACUUGAUUAGUUUGUUGGUGGGGUAAUGGCCUACCAAGACUGUGAUCAAUAGCUGAUUUGAGAGGAUGAUCAGCCACAUUGGGACUGAGACACGGCCCAAACUCCUACGGGAGGCAGCAGUGGGGAAUCUUGCACAAUGGAGGAAACUCUGAUGCAGCGAUGCCGCGUGAGUGAAGAAGGCCCUUGGGUUGUAAAGCUCUUUCGUCGGGGAAGAAAAUGACUGUACCCGAAUAAGAAGGUCCGGCUAACUUCGUGCCAGCAGCCGCGGUAAUACGAAGGGACCUAGCGUAGUUCGGAAUUACUGGGCUUAAAGAGUUCGUAGGUGGUUGAAAAAGUUAGUGGUGAAAUCCCAGAGCUUAACUCUGGAACUGCCAUCAAAACUUUUCAGCUAGAGUAUGAUAGAGGAAAGCAGAAUUUCUAGUGUAGAGGUGAAAUUCGUAGAUAUUAGAAAGAAUACCAAUUGCGAAGGCAGCUUUCUGGAUCAUUACUGACACUGAGGAACGAAAGCAUGGGUAGCGAAGAGGAUUAGAUACCCUCGUAGUCCAUGCCGUAAACGAUGUGUGUUAGACGUUGGAAAUUUAUUUUCAGUGUCGCAGCGAAAGCGAUAAACACACCGCCUGGGGAGUACGACCGCAAGGUUAAAACUCAAAUGAAUUGACGGGGACCCGCACAAGUAGUGGAGCAUGUGGUUUAAUUCGAAGAUACGCGCAGAACCUUACCAACACUUGACAUGUUCGUCGCGACUCUAAGAGAUUAGAGUUUUCGGUUCGGCCGGACGAAACACAGGUGCUGCAUGGCUGUCGUCAGCUCGUGUCGUGAGAUGUUGGGUUAAGUCCCGCAACGAGCGCAACCCUCACUUUUAGUUGCCAUCAUUAAGUUGGGCACUCUGAAAGAACUGCCAGUGAUAAGCUGGAGGAAGGUGGGGAUGACGUCAAGUCCUCAUGGCCCUUACGUGUUGGGCUACACACGUGCUACAAUGGUAUCUACAACAGGAAGCAAGACUGCGAAGUUAAGCAAAUCCCUAAAAGAUACCUCAGUUCGGAUUGCACUCUGCAACUCGAGUGCAUGAAGCUGGAAUUACUAGUAAUCGUGGAUCAGCGUGCCACGGUGAAUGCGUUCCCGGGUCUUGUACACACCGCCCGUCACACCAUGGGAGUUGGUUCUACCUUAAGGCAAGGUUUCAAACCCUUGACCACGGUAUAGUCAGCGACUGGGGUGAAGUCGUAACAAGGUAGCCGUAGGGGAACCUGCGGCUGGAUCACCUCCUU
rnacentral:rRNA from 1 species